AUUGAACGCUGGCGGCAGGCCUAAUACAUGCAAGUCGAGCGAACUGAUUAGAAGCUUGCUUCUAUGACGUUAGCGGCGGACGGGUGAGUAACACGUGGGCAACCUGCCUGUAAGACUGGGAUAACUUCGGGAAACCGAAGCUAAUACCGGAUAGGAUCUUCUCCUUCAUGGGAGAUGAUUGAAAGAUGGUUUCGGCUAUCACUUACAGAUGGGCCCGCGGUGCAUUAGCUAGUUGGUGAGGUAACGGCUCACCAAGGCAACGAUGCAUAGCCGACCUGAGAGGGUGAGCGGCCACACUGGGACUGAGACACGGCCCAGACUCCUACGGGAGGCAGCAGUAGGGAAUCUUCCGCAAUGGACGAAAGUCUGACGGAGCAACGCCGCGUGAGUGAUGAAGGCUUUCGGGUCGUAAAACUCUGUUGUUAGGGAAGAACAAGUACAAGAGUAACUGCUUGUACCUUGACGGUACCUAACCAGAAAGCCACGGCUAACUACGUGCCAGCAGCCGCGGUAACAC
rnacentral:rRNA from 1 species